UUCAAAAAUACUUCAGGGAGUGGUGGUGAUUAGGGAGAGGAAAGAGUGAAACUGACAUUUCAAAAGGUACUCUUUGUAAAAUGUGAUUUUUAAAAACCUGAUCAAGAGGGAUGGAAACUCUCAUACAAUGCUGAUUGCAGGCCUAACCACGUGCAUCUGGCAAAACUACUAGCUGGAAUUAAUGGUGCAAUGAGGAAAUGUGGAAGAAUUUCUCUCUGUGAUGCUAACUGGCUCACUGAAGUUUUGAAACUGUGACCCUGGUCUAUUAGCACCACGCUUUACUCAACUGAAAUAAUCAAGCCACUGCUAUGGGGUGAAGGACAGGGGAUGGGGUGAGAAGGGGACCGAGGGCAAUUAUAUACAUGAAUAAUUACCAUGAUAUGCAGUGAAAAUUUGUCUAUUAACAUAUUUGAGGCUUGAGACUCAUUGAUCACAGCUAUUAAAUAAA